CCUACGGGAGGCAGCAGUGGGGAAUAUUGGACAAUGGGCGAAAGCCUGAUCCAGCAAUGCCGCGUGAGUGAUGAAGGCCUUCGGGUCGUAAAGCUCUUUUACCAGGGAUGAUAAUGACAGUACCUGGAGAAUAAGCUCCGGCUAACUCCGUGCCAGCAGCCGCGGUAAUACGGAGGGAGCUAGCGUUGUUCGGAAUUACUGGGCGUAAAGAGUACGUAGGCGGUUAUUCAAGUCAGAGGUGAAAGCCCGGGGCUCAACCCCGGAACUGCCUUUGAAACUAGAUAACUAGAGUCUUGGAGAGGUUAGUGGAAUUCCGAGUGUAGAGGUGAAAUUCGUAGAUAUUCGGAAGAACACCAGUGGCGAAGGCGACUAACUGGACAAGUACUGACGCUGAGGUACGAAAGCGUGGGGAGCAAACAGGAUUAGAUACCCUGGUAGUCCACGCCGUAAACGAUGAUAACUAGUUGUUCGGUCACUUGGUGACUGAGUGACGCAGCUAACGCAUUAAGUUAUCCGCCUGGGGAUACGGUCGCAAGAUUAAAACUUAAAUGAAAUUGACGG
rnacentral:rRNA from 1 species